rnacentral:tRNA from 1 species
UGGACCUUUAGCUCAGUUGGUUAGAGCUAACGGCUCAUAACCGUUCGGUCGCAGGUUCGAGUCCUGCAAGGUCCAUAUA